GAGCCCAGCCUUUUAAGUAAAGUGUUCCCAGUGCUUAAGGCAGCUGAACCUAAAUGAAGCCGAAAAUGACAAUGAAAACAGGUAAUGCUAUCUGUCACUGCCCGCUGGAUGCCGUUUGUAGCUCUCCCUAGCAAUCACAGGAUAAAAUAAAGCCCCGUGUUGGAGGGCAGGGCAUAAGCAGCUGGGUCUUGAAGCUUCAGUUAGCACUGCGGGGAGGCAGCUCUGAGGAGCACCCCGAUGGGGAUAGAGCUUAGAAAGAUGUCUUGGAACAGGCUUUCAUGUUUGCCAAGUGGCUGCUUCUUAAGCUCCCUGAUAUCCCUUCAUUCUUAAAUGAUAUGAAAUUGUACAGUCCCAGUUCUUAGCACAAAUCCCAAGGACAGAGAAGCAGCAAUAAAAGGGGAAGAAAUCAAAGCUUUUCAUGGUGGCUGUCCUGUGCUUCCUCGUCCUGGUAACACCAUUGGGUUUCUGGGGGUUGCAUUAGGAGGAGGACCUGAAGGGGGAAAGAUUGAGAUCUGCUCCCACCACCGGAUCUAUUUAUUUAUUUUAGAAAGACAGAGAGAGAGAGAGAGAGCGCGCAGGGGAAGGGACAGAGGGAGAGAGAAUCCUCCACUGAGCACUGAGCCUGAUGUGGGGCUCCAUCCCAGGACCCUGACAUCAUAACCUGAGCUGAAACCAAGAGAGGGACACUUAACCGACUGAGCCACCCAGGUGCCCCUAGAUGGGAAUCCAAAGAUACUCCUCCUUCCCUGGGCCCUCCUCCCUCUUUCUCUAUUCCUGGCUAUUGCUGAAUUUUAUAUUCACAUCCGUCCUCCACAGGUAGUCAAUUCAACUGAUACCUUGGGGUCCCAGAUGGAUUAAGAAUCCUGCAGACUGUGAGAUCCUGGAAAGGAGCUUCAGCAAUUUCUGCCACAAUGAUGAGGAAAGCAGCAGAUUCUUUGAAGAAUAUGUGCUGAGAUCUGGGAUCCCCCUGAGCAGCGUAGAUGUGAGACUGGAGAAGCUGUGCUCCCUGAUAUGGAGAUGCCUAGCCCUGGCUGAGUGGAACAGUGGCCUUGCAGUUCCAAGGCUGGGACUUCCAGGAGCAGAGAGGCUUAGCUCACUCCAGGAGCCUCAGCAGACAUGGAGACCACUCUGCUUCUCCUCUCCUAGCACAGGGGGAGACUGUGUCAUCUCCUUUUUGACAAAGGGGGAUUCCAGAAGUGGUACCUGAGUCACAGGAUUCUGGCAGAGAGACAAACCAUUCCAGGCACCCAAUACCCAAAAGGAGGAAGACUAGGAAAUACAUAAAGAAUGCAAGUGGACAACGAAUUUCAGAUAAAGACUUAAAGCCUUAAAUGAAAGAUAGAUUAGAGACUUAAAUGAUCUACUCAGCAAAUUUACUGGGAAGCUACCAGAACUUCAUCAUUAGCCCUGGCAUGGGCUGCUUCUAAUGCCCCAGGAAUUGCCCCAGCUAUGUGUCCAUGAGGUCAUCAGUUCUCAAAAAUUGGCAAAACCAAGUUAUUUUAAGAACCAACAGCUGAGACCGCUGUCUCUUCUUGCCUAGAGCAAUCGGCCUUCCUUGUAGGCCCUGGGACUGAGAGAGCUCCUGGGCCAUGGGAUGUUCAGUACUUAAAAUCAGCAAAGUCCUUGGCAAGCUGAGGUAAGUCGCUCAUCCUACUUUCCAUUCUUCCCACGUCUCUCUCAUCAGAUGGCCCUGGAAAAAAUAUAGGGCCUAUGGGGUCUGGCAGAGGGGAGGCUGAAUAAGGGAUGUAUUUCAUUUUGGCCUGGUGGGAUAGAUGCCUGGGAUUUGUAAUUUGUAAUUUUGCAUUAAGUUAUUAGUAAGUGUUGCAGAACAUCAGCCUCCAGGGUGCUAGCACUGACCCACUCAACAUUCUCUCACCAAGACACAGGACCUUG
rnacentral:lncRNA from 1 species